CAUCGUGAGAGAUGGCGAAGAGUAGGAAUUUGUGGUCUGUGCAGAGUAGAAUGUCAGCGCUGGCAAGUGCAGAGUAGAAUGUCAGCGCUGGCAAGUACAGAGUGGAAAUUCAGCUCUGAUUCUGCACGGCAGAGUCAGAGUAGACGGGCAGCGCUGGCAACCUUCAGAGUAAAAAUUCAGCUCUGCCCAGUGCAGAGCUGGCCUUUUCAG
rnacentral:lncRNA from 1 species